rnacentral:rRNA from 1 species
AACGAACGCUGGCGGCAGGCUUAACACAUGCAAGUCGAACGAAGUCUUCGGACUUAGUGGCGCACGGGUGAGUAACACGUGGGAAUAUACCUCUUGGUGGGGAAUAACAUCGGGAAACUGAUGCUAAUACCGCAUACGCCUUCGGGAAGAUUAUCGCCGAGAGAUUAGCCCGCCGUCCGAUUAGCUAGUUGGUGAGGUAAUGGCUCACCAAGGCGACGAUCGGUAGCUGGUCUGAGAGGAUGAUCAGCCACACUGGGACUGAGACACGGCCCAGACUCCUACGGGAGGCAGCAGUGGGGAAUAUUGGACAAUGGGCGAAAGCCUGAUCCAGCCAUGCCGCGUGAGUGAUGAAGGCCUUAGGUUGUAAGCUCUUUCUACCCACGACGAUGAUGACGGUAGUGGGAGAAGAAGCCCGGCUAACUUCGUGCCAGCAGCCGCGGUAAU